rnacentral:lncRNA from 10 species
CUGCUUCUUUGCAGUUAUUCUAUUUCUCUUCAAACUCCUUUUUAUUCUUUAUUGACUUUGUUCUACUCAGAGGAAUUAAGAAUGAUUGGACUCUAUGAAACCAAAAGUAAAAUCCAAGAAGAGGAAAGAACAGGUUAAAAUGAAAAGACUGACAAAGUUUUUUUUUCUUUUUUGAAUUAUAUUCCUUUCUAUAGAAAGUAAUUUCCAGAAGUAUACUUUUUCUUUCAGUUUUCAAGGUAAAGUAGUUUGCUUAGUGUAGACUUUUUUCUCCCAUAAGUAUGCUGACUUUUUUUCUCUUUCUCUUGGAAGGAAGAGACUUUUAUGUCUCUCAGGAGUGUUUGCAAGUGGCUUCUGCCUUUGGAUUUCCCUUAGUUGCUCUCACCAUUCACCUACAGACUGACUGAAACUGCAUCUUAACUGGAGGAUUAAAAGCUCACUGAGAGUUCAAACGCUGGAGAAAUAUUUACCAAGCCCCUAUCACUCAGAUGAUCACUGAUUCAAGAUUGCAGAAGAUUAAAGAUGAAGACGUGCAAUGGGGAAUAUGUAGGAGGAAAGGGGACUUGAGUUACCAUGGCAACUGAAAUUCAAUGUAACAUCACUCCAAAAAUGUUCUGUUAGUUUGGGGAGAAUUUACCAAGUUAGUAUCCCACAAUUUGUAUCAUAACCCACAAGCUACCAGGCAGGAAUGGGGCAUAGGAGUGUCAUCCUGAAGCUAGUAAUUUCAUUCUAGUGGAAAUCAGCAGGCUAGGAGCUGGAGUGAACCUCUGGGAAAAGUAACCAGAUUCCAGUUUCAUCUUUUUUCAACUUCAAGAAGCCAAACUCUGCUUCCAGAAUAAAUCUGACAUCACAGAAAGACAAGCUUUGCAUGUUCUCAUUUAUUUGUGGGUGCUAAAACUUAAAACAAUUGAACUCAUGAAGACAGAAGGAUGGCUACCAGAGGCUACAGUCAAUAGUAAUUACGUACACUUUAAAAUAAUGAAAAGAGUAUCAAUGGAUUGUUUGUAACACAAAGAAAUGAGAAACGCUUGAAGUGAUGGAUACCCCAUGUACCCUGAUGUGAUUAUUAUGCGUUGUAUGCCUUUAUCAAAAUAUCUCGUAUACCUCAUAAAUUUACACACCUACCGCAUACCCACAAAAAUGUCCAAAAAAAAAAAAAUAAGCUGGGUAUUUGAGAACUAACUGCUUUGCUGACCUUGGUACAUAAUAAUGGCAACUUUUAACCAAUACCCUCCAUUCUCAGCCAGUAUCAAGUAAGCAACAAGGUUAUAAACCAAGCAAUAAAAGGACAAGACCAAUAAGUAAUUUUGUAGUCAUUUUUCAUAUGAAAUCAAGUAAAUUCACACUAACAAGCCUUAUGUAGUUGCCUAUUGUAUGAUCGGCAUGGUCUUAGAUACUAUCAUUCCUUUGAUUGACAUAGCAUUAGGCCACAAUCUCUGCCUUUUGAAUUAUCGUCUGAAAGAGACGAGAAAAUAGGCAUGUGUCAAAUAAUUACAGCUGGAAAGAAAGCAAAAGUAUUAUAGUUCAAAAUAUGCACAGAAGUAUGAACGCAACAAUGAAUAAAUGACGGGUCAUAAAAUGCAGUUGGUCAAGGAAAGAUUUUGGGGGAUUGAGGCAUUGAACUAGGUUGUGAAUGAAUUGAUGACUAUGAAUCUAAAGACUGAAGUUACUGACUUGGGUAAGAAGAUCAUUUUGAGUAGGUGAUUCAACAGGAGGAAAGCCACCCAACAGAAGCAAAAGACAACUAAGGCAGCAAAUACAAGCCUACAAUAUAUCCAGGAAAGCUUAAGGAAGACUUAAGUGCCUGAAACAAAACUGGCCACAUUUUGAACACUGAAAUAUGAACCCUGACAUGGAACUAAGCAGCUAGUAUAUGCUGAGUGUACACACACAUUAACCCAUUAAUUCUCAAUACAAACACAGGAAAAAACAUAGCUAUGAGGGAAUUAAAGGUCAACAAAUUUGAGACCCUUGCCUAAUCGGGAACAGCUGAUAAACAGAAUUCAAAAUCCAAUUUAUUUCUCCUUGAUACUAAAAUUCACGUUUUCCAGAGUAUCUCUGCUUUUCAAAAACAUAAUUAUCAGAGGUCUCAAAUGCCAGGAGGAAAAAAU